CUUACACCUGAAGAUGUCUGCUAACACCAGAUCGUCUUGAUGCCAACCUCUAGCCCAAUCGACAUGACCUGGAAUAACAAAGCUACUACAUACACCCAACUAAAGCAUUUACUAGUCCUAGUAUAGGCGAUAGAAAGGACACCAUUGGAGCGAUAGAGACUACGUACCGUAAGGAAAGAUGAAAUAUUAGUGAAAUAAACUAAGCUAAAAACAGCAAAGAUCAACCCUUGUACCUUUUGCAUCAUGGUCUAGCAAGAAAAACCAAGCAAAAUGAAUUUAAGUUUGCCAUCCCGAAACCCAAGCGAGCUACUUACGAGCAGCUAUUUUGAGCGAACCCGUCUCUGUGGCAAAAGAGUGGGAUGACUUGUUAGUAGAGGUGAAAAGCCAACCGAGCUGGGUGAUAGCUGGUUGCCUGUGAAACGAAUCUUAGUUCACUCUUAAUUCUUCUCCAAGGAAACACACAAACCCUAAUGAAGCGAAUUAAGGGCAAUUUAAAGGGGGUACAGCUCCUUUAAAAAAGAAUACAAUCUCCACGAGCGGAUAAAUAAUAUUCCCCAAUUAUACUGUGGGCCCUCAAGCAGCCAUCAACAAAGAGUGCGUUAAAGCUCUACUCCUCAAAAAUAUAAGAACAAUAUGACUCCCUCAUCACUAACAGGCUAACCUAUACCCAAAUAGGAGAAUUAAUGCUAGAAUGAGUAACCUGGGUCCUCCCUCUACGACGCAAGCUUACAUCUGUACAUUAUUAACAAAUCACCAAUAUACGACAAAUCAAACAAGCAGAGUAUUAGGUACAUUGUUAACCCGACAGAGGAGCGUCCA
rnacentral:rRNA from 1 species